UAUUUAUUCAUCAAAAAUAAGACAAAUUCCAUGAAAUUCCACAUUAUACAGUAAAUUUCAUUUUUAUGACUGGAUUCGGCGAUUCCGUCCAUGUUUUCCGUUCAUGUUUUUCAUCUUGAGAGUAAAAGACAGGGACAUUGUUGUUUAUUUACUUAGCAUUUAGUCUCUCCAACUAGGUGACAAUGUAGCGUUAAAUCACCAACAGACACAAGCCACCACCGCACUGCCGUCUAUCGGAUACAAACUUUUCAAUCUGCUACGAUACUGACUGUACUGACAAACUAUGCUGACACCUUGUCUGCGCCACAACAGGAAACGACAAAGCAACCAUUUAAAUUAUUUGAACUUUGUAUCAGCACAUCAUAAAUAAUACACUGCAAAAUGUAAGUUGAGUUAACUUAAAAAACUGAGUUAACUUUUUACCAACUCAAAAGUAAUACAUUACUUCCCUUAUAAAUUUAAGGCAAUUGGUUUCCUCACUUUUUUAAGUUAGAGUUUUGUUAAGUUUAGAAUGAGAUAUCAGUUCACUGCAUACAGUGUAGAUACCAUCUGAUUAUAAUGGGUUCUAUUCUACGAGUGGUCUGUGCAACAAAAUAUAAUACAAUUCUAUUGUAUUUUGUCGCACCACGUGAUGUGACCGAUAUAUGCAUUAAAUGUUCUGUAAAAAUCUUUUUAUAUCGGCAGCAUAUUCGCUGAUACCAGUAUAGCAGCGGAUGUUUUAUAUCAGCCGAUAAUAUCAGCUAAACGAUCUAUUGUUCGGGAUCUAAUUGUUAUGGUUAUCUUUAUACUUAUUGUUCUUGAAGUGAAUGAGCCUUUAGACACAUUGAAAAAAACUAAUCUUUAAGCUAAUAAGUACCUUGUGGCAAAACAAUAAAACCAACUUCAACCAGUAAGUAGAGGGAUAUUUUCCCACUGGCUAAUGGGUUUAACACCCAUGAUGAAUUCUGUACAGGCCCAACAGGUGGUGAGACCCCUCACGUGUGAAUGAACUGACCCAUAGAGAUGGUGGUGGAGAAAUACCUAUAAAGAAGGUGUUAGAUGGUGUCUAAGACUCCAUUCCCAAGCCCAGAGGAGUUGUUUGACAGUACAUUGUGGUUAAUGGAUGAUGUGUGCAAGGGUUUGACAGAAGGACUGGGCCUUCUACUUCUGAGCCUCAUGCUUUGACAUGCCAAGCAUUCUACAACCACCUCACACUGGGCCAUGGGUCAAAAAUAGAAGCAGCACCAGACUGCUGGCAAUAAAAGGGAGAAAUAUGAGAAGGCGGCUCUGAUUUUAAGACCCUUACACAGGCUGAUAACUGUGUGUGAGAGAUAAGGAGAAGUAAGUGUGUGAGGGGGGAAGCUAAAUUUCAUCAUGUUGCAGGAAAAAUUAAGCAACUGUAACAGUCACUCUAAAAAAGGAAGGCAAAUGAGAUGAGAAUAAUCUAAAUAAGUCUUUAAUAUUAUAGUCCACAUCAAACAGAACCAAAACUGAUCAUACUUGUGACAGUUCCCCCCCUCCUGGAACAGUGAGUCAUCGCAACGACAAAAAUAGUCCAGAGGAGGGGGGUUCAGGAGGCGGGUGUGGGACAGGCAAGGAGUAGGCAAAGGGAAAGAGGUAUAGUCCAUAAGGCCAGGGUAGAGUAGAUGGAGGAAUGAGCCAGGGAGGAGCCUGAAGCAGGAGGAGCCAGGUGGGGAACCAGAGUCCAGCCAGGAAAGUUGACCACGACGGAGUCAACAACAGGAGGAGCCAUGAUGGAGAUAGUGCCAACGACACAAGGUGGCUGACUGACGGAGACUGAGCUAGUUGAAGAGGAGUCCAGGAUGGAGACAGAGAGCCGUAGAGCCUGGGUGACGCAAAGGAUCUGGAGGGCCAAGGUGGAGCUGGCAGCUCUGGCAACUGAGAUGAAGACGGGACUCUGGAAUACCACAGCGGAGCGACUGAGGAUGGAGGCAGAGCCGGAGGGAAGGAGGAGCCUGAUAGAGAUAGAGGGACAGACUGAUGAGGCGAAGCCAGAGGAGUGGAGUCCCGAGGUGGUGGAUGGUCGACAACUGACUAAUGUGGAGCUGGAGAGACGAGGGAGCCCGGUGGAGCUGGUGGGAUGACGGGCCGUAGUGGAGAUGAGGGAACUAGGAGCCAAGGUAGAGCGAUGGGUUGGAGGACCGAGGUGGUGUCAGGGGAUCCUCACACCAAGGCGGAGCUGGAGACUGGAAGUCUCGAGGUGGAUUAGAGCUCUCAGAUGGCACUGUGCUGAGGGUGAGCUGAGGGACUGACAGGCACCAGCAGAGAUGGGGCUGAGGAACUGACUGGUCUUUUAAGGAGACUGGAGAGGGAGGCUGGGAGGGAAAACUGGAUAACAGCUGGGCGGAACCAGCAGAGACACAGGAGAACUGGGUAUUACCUCCCUAAAACAGUCUAUUAAGUCAGUUAAAAAAAUGUCCAUUAGUUCUUCUACAUUAAGUCUAGAAACCAGUUGCAGCUCACACACAGUCGUGGGAGUGUGGGUGGGGCUUCUCUCCAAUCCCUCGAUCUCCACGAGGACGUUCCGUGCAGCAUGAUGGUGAUUGCUGGCUGGCCUCUGAAUUGGGAGUUGGACUGGUGUUGUCCUCAGUGGGGCAGAUGCAGAAAAGUCCAGUAUUCUCCAGCACCCCCUCCACACAAGUGGCAAAAUUUUCCACUGGUAGGGGUGCCUUACACUAUUUAAUAAAUCUACUACUAAUAGUCAAGAUGUAGCUGAUUGGAGGAACCCUUGUUUUUUAUGGUACAUAGUUACAUAGCUUUUUUUAAGGCUAUGGCUUAUGCAAAACUAUAAUUAAAACUAAUGAUGUAUGGUUUAUUAACAUGUUUUUUUUAGCUGUGUAUUGUAAUUAUUCAGAGUAAAUGGAUAGUUUACAUAGACUUGUUUUGUUUCUGGUAAAACAGUUCAUGCAAAUUCCACCAAUCAGCCUCAUGCAUUUGAGGAAGUGUGUGUAGCUCUGUAAUAAUUGCCUACUCAUUACACCUACGUAGGCUAUUAUUAUAAUUCAAAUUGAUUCUAUUUGUGUAUGUGCACAAAUCUUGUAACUGUCCUCUAUUAUUCUGUUUUUCUCUCAGGGUCUCACACUUCCUUCCUUAUCAGGAAGGUUAUUCUCAAAAUAUUGAUGCUCUGCUCUACAGAAAUGCAGUAAAACAAUUGGGUAACAUUAAAUAAAAAAAUAAAAAAUAAACACUGUUUAUACAAAUAUUUAGACCAUAAGAACUAGAGGGAAUAUGUUUUUAUUUUGUUCUUGUGUUCCCUGAAAACAUGUGCUGAAGCUGGUACACUGACUGGUUUUAUGCAAUCAAGUUUAAAUCAGUAAAAACCAAUAAACCUAAUAGGUCAUUAGUAGAUUUUUGUGGAAAUGAUGACCAUGCCACUAUGUAGUUCAAACACUAGAGAAACACCAAAGACAUUGGUUUAAUUCUCAUCAAGUUAAAUUUUUAAAUUAAAAAUCACUCAUUUCGAUAAAUGUCUUCUCAAAGCAUAAAUGUACAGUAAGUGUAUGUCUUCAUGCUGACUACUCUGCUCAUUUGGGGUUGUCUUGAGUCACUUGCCAGCUGUGUUAAUCAUACUGUAGUUUCUGCUUUGAUCACAAAAUGCAUUAGAUUCUGUCCAAUAAUAAUAUCAAAUGUCAUGUAUGUUUUCUAUGUGAGUUUGCUGUUCGUAAUUAAAUAGUUGAAUUAU